rnacentral:rRNA from 1 species
CCCUUAGAUGUUCUGGGCCGCACGCGCGCUACACUGUUCGACGCAGCGAGUCUUAACCUUGACCGAAAGGUUUGGGUAAUCUUCAGCAAAGUCGAACGUGAUGGGGAUCGAUCAUUGCAAUUAUUGAUCGUGAACGAGGAAUUCCUAGUAAGUGCAAGUCAUCAGCUUGCGCUGAUUACGUCCCUGCCCUUUGUACACACCGCCCGUCGCUACUACCGAUUGAAUGGUUUAGUGAGAUCUCUGGAUUGACGCUGGCUAGGGGGCGACCCUUGGCCAGACUGUUGAGAUACUGCUCAAACUUGAUCAUUUAGAGGAAGUAAAAGUCGUAACA